rnacentral:rRNA from 1 species
AAGAAUAUUAGUCAAUGCUGCAAGAGUGAACUAGCUAACUGAAAUCAUAAAUCAUUAAUAGUGGUGAUAUGAUAACGUAAGGAAAAAAUAAUGAUAUAACCUUACUAUUAGUGUUGUCCAAAGCUGGUGCCAGAAGACUCGGUAAGGCCAGAGACGCAAACGUUAAUCGUCCUAAUCAGGCGUAAAGGGUUUGUAGGCUGCUUUAAAAGUUUUAUUUAUAAUAGCUCUUUUUGUUGUUUUUACUAAAGCCAAAAGCACAAAUUAAAAAGAUAAUAUAAAAUGAAUUAAAGCUAGAAUCAUAAAGAGGAUAAACCAAAUAAUACUUAGAGUAGGGAUGAUAUCUUUAGAUACUAAGGGGAAUACUAACGGUGAAAGCUUUUUAUCUAAUAAUGAUUGACGCUGAGAAACGAAGGUGAGAAUAGGAAAUAGGAUUAGAUACCCAGAUACCUCUCACUGUCAACGAUGAAUGGUGGUUGUUAGUAAUAAUAAAACUAGUAACGAUGUUAACACGAUAACCAUUCCGCCUUGCGAGUACGGUUGCAAAACUGAAACCAMAAAAAUUA